rnacentral:tRNA from 1 species
GACUCAGUAGCUCAGUUGGAUAGAGCAACGGCCUUCUAAGCCGUAGGUCAGAAGUUCGAAUCUUCCCUGAGUCGCCA